rnacentral:lncRNA from 1 species
AGUUCCCACUUUCUUUCUUUUCGCAGUGCUGGGGUUGGAACCCAGGGCCUGUGCACGCCAGGCAAGUGCUGCAUCCCCAGCUCUUGGCAGGUUUGAAGAUGGAAGUUCUUUCUCCUCUUCACCACCAUCUCCUCACCUCCCCAGAAAGAAAUGCAGCCCCUCUACCUUAGCAAAUGAUUUAAUGAGUGACUGGCAGGGAGGAUGGGGAGGUGAGGGGUGAGGGGACGGAGCGGCAGUGGCACAUGACUCAUGAGCAGCAAAAAGCCAAGAGGAAACCAGCAAGAGGCUGUUCUGUGUUCCACCCUCCAGCCGUCAAGUUCAGCACCGCCCCAGUCAUAGGAUCAGUUGCCGUUGAGAUGGGGACCAGCCAGUCGGUGUGCUUCCCACCUGUCUCAGGACCCCACCUUGUAGGCUGUGGGGAUGUGAUGGAGGGUCAGAGUCUCCAGGUAGGUGUCUGCAGCUCCUCCCCUACACGUCUCCCCUGCUUUGGUCUGUGCUGGGUCUUUUUUUUUUUUAAUAUUUAUUUUUUAGUUUUAGGUGGACACAUAUCUUUAUUUUACAUUUAAGUGGUGCUGAGGAUCGAACCCAGUGCCUUGCGCAUGCUAGGUGAGCGCUCUACCACUGAGCCACAACCCC